rnacentral:lncRNA from 1 species
UAUUAUUUUAAAGAUAUUAUGAUACGAUUCAUAAAUGAAUACACAAACUUGAAGAAAUAUACCAGAUAACAAAUAAAAAAAAUAACAAUGUGUACCAUUGUAUUUGCAAUCUGGCCACCAAAAGUCUCGUUGCUUUCAUUUUCUGUUCAAAUCCUCGGAUUGCAAACAAAUCCUACUGAAUGGCGUUGAAUGACAUCAACAAGAAAAGAGCUAAAAUCUCUCUCUUCUUGAAUAAUAUGUACAAAAGGGCUUGAAUGUUGUUCCAAUAAAGGAGUAUGUAAAUACUAUGUUCGUGUUUAUUUGAAUUUAUUUCGGUUUCAUACCUUUCCAGAAGCAGUAUUGGAUACCUUCAGUUGUCAAGCCUAGUAAAAUCCAGUAGUAUUUCAGUGUUUGAUUGAAUCUGCCAUCUCUGCUGUUAAUUGACGCCCAACUGGUGGAAGUGUGAGGAUGCCUUUUCUGUUUCAUACGUACAUGGGGUGAUUUAAGAGCGAUCCAAAGCCCUGUAAAUCUUUUAGUGUUUAUCUUGAGAUUGAACUAACAGAUACUAGAAUCUAGAUCUGAGAAAAUAUGAAAUAUGGAUGAAUAUGGAAAAUUCUUGUAUUGAAGAUGAUAGUUCACGUGAAAUGUACAUCAGGUGGUCUUUAAAUAGAGAAUGAAAGCAAUUGGGUUCUAUACAGUUGUUUACAGCUGGAUAUUAACAGAAAAUCAACUAAUCUAACUAAUUCUUCCACGUCAGCAACAGGUUCUGGUUGUUUCUUCCUGUGUUCCUCAACAGCCCCCUUCAAGAUGGAGUGUAUAUGUUGGACACAUUCAUCUUGCACAAUAAAGAAUGAAAUAAAGAUGCUCCCACUGGUUUUGUCAUAAUAUCUGCUAGUUGAUUGUUGGAAAAGACAUGCAUAGUGUGCAAAAUUCCAGCCUUAAUCUUGUCUCUCACUAUAUGACAAUCUAGUUCGAUAUGUUUUGUUCUUUCGUGAAAUACGGGGUUGACAGCAAUGUGUAAUGCAGCUUGAUUAUCACAGUAUAACAAUGCAGGCUCCUCAUGUUUAAUUCCCAAGUCAGCCAACAGAUAUAGAAGCCAUUGUAUUUCGCACGUUGCUGAUGCCAUUGCACGGUAUUCAGCUUCUGCUGAAGAUCUGGAAACCGUGUUUUGCUUCUUAGAUUUCCAGGAUAUUAGAGCAUUUCCCAGAAAAGUACAAUAUCCAGUUAUGGAUCUUCUUGAAUCAGGGCAGCUGGCCCAAUCUGAAUCUGAAAAAAUCUUCAACCUUAAGUCAUUGUCUUUAGGAAAGAAAAUCCCUUGUCCUGGCAUGCUCUUGAUGUACCUUAUUGCCCUAUGAGCUGCAUCCAAAUGAGGUUCCCUUGGUUGGUUCAUAAAUUGACUUAACACUUGAACCACAUAACUCAGAUUCGGCCUUGUAAUGGUUAAGUACAACAACCGUCCUACUAACCUCCUGUAAAGUGAUGCAUCAUUCAAUAGUUCUCCACUUUCUCUAUCCAGUUUAGCAUUUUGCUCCAUUAGUGUGUUUGCCGGUUUGGCACCACUAAAACCAACAUCUUCUAAAAUAUCUAGAGCAAAUUUUCUUUGACACAAAAAAAUUCCUUUCUUAGACCGAGCUACCUCCAGUCCUAGGAAAUUUUUCAAUGUUUCAAGAUCUUUUAUCUUGAAUUGCCGAUCAAGAGAGGCCUUCAAAUCAUUCAUACCUUGUAAAUCAUCUCCUGUCAAUACAAUAUCAUCCACAUACACUAGUAGAGCAAUGAAAGAACCAUUUCUAUUCCUAGUGAAAAGUGUAUAAUCAGAUUUGGACUGUGCAAAGCCUUCCUUUAGCAGAAAAUCUGAGAACUUAGUAAACCAUUGUCUAGAGGCUUGUUUUAAACCAUAUAAAGACUUGUUGAGCUUGCAUACCAUACUGUCCCCUUUGCUGUCAAGACCAGCAGGAACUUUCAUGUAUAUUUCCUCAUUUAGAUCACCAUGUAAAAAUGCAUUGUUGACAUCUAAUUGUAAAAGAGUCCAAUCCUUAGCAGCAGCUAUAGCCAAAAAGACUCUCAUAGAAGUAAGCUUUGCCACUGGAGAAAAGGUUUCAAGAUAAUCAAAUCCUUCUUUUUGAGUAUAGCCCUUAGCCACUAAUCUGGCUUUAUACCUUUCUAAAGACCCAUCAGCUUUCAACUUUAUUUUGAAUACCCAUUUACAGUCAAUGGGGACUUUGCCAGGGGGUAAACGAGUGAUUGUCCAUGUGUUAUUAUCCUCAAGUGCCUUAAUUUCCUUAGUCAUUGCAUCACACCAGUUAGGAUCCUUUACAGCUUGAUCAAAAGUUUGAGGCUCAGUCAUGUUAGUGAUAUUAAGAGCAUAUGCUCGAUGGGAAGAUGAUAAUCUAUCAUAAGCAAGAUAAUUUUGGAUAUCACAGCUGGGGUUUAUGCUUGAAAGAACCCUACUUGUGGACUGAUCAGAUCUGUUAAGAGAAUGUUGAGCCAAAUGACAAUGAUAAUGCUGAAGAUAAGAAGGGGUUUGUUUAAUUCUUGUGGAUCUUCUCAGAGGAAGGUUUAUGUCAUGUGAAGCUGUAUGAUUUUCUGGUGGAGGAAUAAGGUCAUUUUGGUGAUCUGGUGAAGUGUUUGGUGAAACAUUUUCAGAUAUAGGAGACACCUGGGAAGAAAAAAUGGGAAAUGAAGGUUCUGGAAUUGGAUUAGGUAAGACAAAUGGGUCAUCAUGAUUUGAAGGGAGUUGUUUGUAUGGAAAGGUGUCUUCAUAAAAUACAACAUUUCUUGAUAUAAAGACAGCUUGAGUUUGAAGAUCUAAGAGUUUAUAGCCCUUGACAGAAUAUGGAUAGCCAAGAAAGAUACAUUUGGUUGCUCGAGAAUCAAACUUUGAUCGAUUUCUAGUGAGUGUAUAAGCAAAACAUAAGCAACCAAAAGUCCUGAAAUGAGAGUAAUCAGGUUUUUGGGAAAAAAGGGCUUCAAAGGGGGAUUUUCCAUGAAGCAAAGGAGUGGGAAGUCUGUUGAUGAUGUAAGUUGCAGUUUGUAUACAUUCACCCCAAAAACUAAGAGGUAAAUUUGCUUGAAAACGAAUGGCUCUAGCAACAUUUAGUAGAUGUUGAUGUUUUCUUUCGACUACCCCAUUUUGUUGGGGUGAUUCAACACAAGUCUUUUGAUGUAUAACACCUUUGGAUGUAAAAAAAUCUCUAAGGUGAAAUUCUGAACCAUUAUCCGAGCGAAUACACUUUAUCUUGAGAUUAAAUUGUGUCUCAAUUAAAGUGAAGAAAGCUGGAAUGACCGAUUGUGUUUGACUUUUAGAAUUUAACAAGCAAGUCCAUACAUAUCGAGUAAAGUCAUCAACAAGAGUUAGAAAGUAUUUUGAACCAUCAAUAGCGGUGGUAGAGAAAGGACCCCAUAGAUCAGCAUGUAUUAGAUCAAAUGGAGCAGAACUCUUUAUUUCACUAGAAACACAGGGUAAUCUGUGCAACUUAGCCAUAGGGCAAAUGUCACAUUGAUGUAUAGUACUUACAUUCAGAUUUGAAAUGACAGGUUGCAACAUUUUUAGGCGUUGCAAAGAUGGAUGACCUAACCUAAGAUGCCACAAAUCAGAAACUGUGGAUGUUACAGAAUUAACAAAAUGUUUAGGUUGUGGGGAAGUGAUAUUCAGCAUAUAGAACAGCCCAAUUUUUCUCUUUAGCAAGACCAAUCAUCGUCCAUGAGCAUAGGUCCUGUAUAAAGCAGACGCCAGAUAACAAAAUGAGAGCACAUCUGACCGUUUUAAGCAAGCAACUGACUGAUACCAGAUUGAAUGCAAAGGAUGGCACACACAGAACAUUCUCCAGAAUAAUCGAAUUUGUAAGUCUAACCGAACCAACAUGUGUAACUUUUGCUAAACUACCAUUUGGAAGCUUAACAAGCUGUGAGACUGUAGCUAUGAUUUCUGUGAGUAAAUGAACUGAACACACCAUAUGAUCUAUAGCACCGGUGUCUAGAAUCCAUUCAUAAUUCACACUUAAAAUUUCAGAACCUUUAUAUGAUUUAGAUGAAAAACACUAACUAAAUACUGAUGCAUUGUGAGGCAAAGACCAUGAUGUACCUGCCAGAUUUGCUAGGGCAUGCUCUUGUGAACCAGAGGUGCUUGCAUUUUGAGAAUUGAUGGUGCGAGUGCCUAUGAAUGGCAAAGAUAUUUCAUCAGUGGAUUGAAUCAAGGCUAGCAGCUGUUGAUACUGAUUCUUAGUAAAUGAGAAUUGCGCGAGAUUAGUGUCAACAUCAUGAGCAUAUUCCACUUGAUUUGCAACUCCAUGAACCACAGGAUUCUUGUUUUUAAACUUAUAUCCUGGUGGAUAACCGUGUAAUUUGUAGCAUUUGUCGACUUUGUGGCCAAGAAGACCACAGUGACUGCAUUGAGGACGCUCCUUCUUAUUGUUCUGUCCAGUGUAAUUGUUCCUUCCUUCAUUGGCAGCUUGUGCAAGAUUUCUAUUGAAAUUUUUAGCAACCAUAGCAACAGAAUCUAGAUUGUGUGUGAUGCUAGCUGCAAUUUCUCUUUGCUUCUCCUCUUGUACUACUAGAGAGAAGACUUUGUUAAUUGGUUGUAAUGGAUCAAUCAAUAGUAUUUGACCUCGAAUCUGAGAGUAACUCUCAUUCAAGCCCAUCAGGAACUGCAUGACGUAUUCUUCCUGCUGAAACUUCACCAUAGAGGCUGGAACAGGUCUAUAGCACCCAAGCUCGUCCCAAAGUGUCUUCAAUUUAGUGAAAUAUGUACUUACUGAACAAUGGUCUUGUGUUAGAGAAGUGAAUGCCUUCCUUAAUUGAAAGAUACGUGGUCCAUUAGUUUGUGAAAACCUUUCCUUGAGAUCGGACCAAAUAGCAGCAGCAGUAUCAAUGUACAGGACACUAGCAGCAAGUUCUUUGGAAAUGGAGUUCAAAAGCCAUAAAAUAACCAUAUGAUUGCACCUCUUCCAAGCUGGAAAGGCCGGAUCGCCUUCAUCAGGUUUGCUCAAGGAUCCAUCGAUGAAACACAGCUUGUUUUUGGCACUCAGAGCCAUUGCAACUGAUCGACUCCAUGAUGCAUAGUUGUCUUCAUUCAGCUGCUGAGAAACGAUCAAGAGACCAGGACUAUCUCCAUGAUGCAGAAAAAAAGGACUAAAAACGUCCUCUGCUCUCGCUGCAGAUGCAGGAAGAUCAGAAACUAAAGGCUCAGGAACUGAAGCAAAAGCAUCAUUAUGCUCUGAUACCAUCUUGAGAUUGAACUAACAGAUACUAGAAUCUAGAUCUGAGAAAAUAUGAAAUAUGGAUGAAUAUGGAAAAUUCUUGUAUUGAAGAUGAUAGUUCACGUGAAAUGUACAUCAGGUGGUCUUUAAAUAGAGAAUGAAAGCAAUUGGGUUCUAUACAGUUGUUUACAGCUGGAUAUUAACAGAAAAUCAACUAAUCUAACUAAUUCUUCCACGUCAGCAACAGGUUCUGGUUGUUUCUUCCGUCCUUAUAGCAAGAAGUCGACUCAGGCUUUUCAGUUUGGAUGUUGGGACUAAAGCGAAUUCUGGAAGCAAAGCAACGAGGACUUCAACAAAUACUUUCUUGCAUUACCAUUUUUAAUUCGCUCUUGCAUAAAGCUCUACACUUUGAUUGUAGGGAUUUCGCCAGGAUCCUCAUAGAAUGCAUCAUUCAUAUCACAUUAUGACACUUCUACAGGUCGUAUUGUUGGUUUUUCGAUAAUAGGUUUACAGUUUUGCAUACUGAACCCUUUUUCUCUAUCUGAAUUGUCACCUAUUGGUGGUAGUGCCAUUGGCUUUAUAGUUACACCAGGGUUUUUAUUUACAGUUG